GUAUAGUUGGCACGUUUGGGUCUUCCACUGUUCUGACAGUGCCGCGUUACCACUUUUAAACUUAAACACUCGCAAGCUUAGCAGCCUUUUAUUUACUUACAGUAUCGAUCCAACAUCGAACCACCCCCAGACCAGACCAUGUUCUUUCUCACUCUCUCCCUUUCGCUUGCUCACUGGGCUUCUGUGCAGUCAGAAGUGAUUUGUUGGACAUCUGCUGUUGCAGCAUAGCAUGUGGGCGUAUACAUACACACAUACACACAGUUAGAGGGAACCGUUAGCACUUACAGAAUUUCUCCAGAGGAGAGUAAAAAUAUUCGUGCUUAGCAACUGUUCUGUGAUGUCAUUUAUGUGAUUUUGGUACUGUCGUCACACCUUGGCAGUCCCACAUGGAGCUCUGCAGAGUCAUGCAGAAUUGGAAUGCCUGUCAUUCUCAAGUUGUAAAACAGCCCCAACUACCAGAAACAAAUUUCUUUUGUGUUUAUCUGAUAUUGCACUUUUGUGCUUAAAUCGAUUGCAGUUAUUCCCCUUCCCAAAAAAUGCUGCAUCUACAAAUUCUUAUCUGGACUUGCUCAUAAAAAUGUUCAGUGUUUAAAAUCAUUUUGUUUUAUGUCUGUUAAUAUUUUGUAUUUGUACUGUGUUUUGUAUAGUUUGAAAACUUUGGUUGAUUGGGAGACUGAAAUAUGGCUUCCUUCACCAAUCCAUCUCAUGGAAACAAAACAUCUGUGGCAAUUCACAUACUUUAAUGUUGCAUCAAUUUUUUUUACACACAAUUCUCUUACUGUAGUGCAAGAUGCAACCCUUCAUAUUUUUUUUUCACUUUAAAGCAAAAUAGCCUUCAAAACUCCUCACCAAUUUCACUUACCAGUGAAAUUUGUUUUAUCAGUUGGGUUGCAUUGUAAACAAGAUGAUGAUGAUAACUGAUAAUGAAAGUUUUAUUUAAAUGAAUGCUUUGACAUACAGUAAUAUCACCUUAUAAUGAUAAAGUAUACUUUGAGCACAUCUUGUCUGUUACCAGUGUUUAUAUUACUUAACAGUGUUUAUAUUAGGGCUGUGUGCAAUUAAUUGAAUGCGAUUGCCAUGCACAUCUGGUCAGUAAAGCCGGUUCUGUGAUUAGUAGUAAAUCUCCAUCUUUCAGAUGGAGCGGCAUUUAAUACAUACAGCCGUAAUUCAUUGACAGUUAGUUAAUAUCACAUUCAUUAUCACAGAUUGAAUUGCCUGCAGUAAUGAACGAAAUAUUGUGUAGCUUGUCAUUGAUCUGAGUUGGUAUGAUUUGUGCUUGUGACGGAGCGGUAGUGGAGCAUUCUGGGAGCGAUUGAAAACCUCAGUGCUCCAACUUUCAAAAAAUCAGCUCCUAGCUCCAGGCAAAAUCACACCACUCCGCUCACAUACUCUGAUAGAAAGCAAUAAACAUAUGGAGCAAAAAAAUAAAUAAUAAUUAUUCAUGCAUUUUCACUUUUUUUACAAUUUGUAGAUACAUUUUGCUCUUGGUGUUGAAUGAACCUUCACUAUGGACCCAAUUACUAGUCCGUUAUCAAGAGUUACUUCAAAACAAUUUAUUCUGUGCGUUACCUUUGACCAAGGAAAUAAUUUAAAUUAAUUUUAUCAUUAAUGUACUUAGAAUUUGCAGUCUAUUCUAGUUUUUAUUUUUCACUAGUUUUUUUUUUUUUUUUUCUCCUAGUUCUAGUUUUUUUCUAGUUUCACAUGAAUUUUUGUGAGCAGAGCAGAUAACAUUUGUAACUUUUGCAGAUUUGCUGAAAUGUAGCUAGCACGAGCCAGGCCCUGUCAUACAGUAAUCACAGGGUGUCAAAAACUUGAUUACCAUUUGCUAUAAAAUGAUGCUGCUUCCACUAUAGUAAUUUGUUUUGUUUUUUUUCGUAAACACACCUUUGUGUUUUUUUUUUUUUUUUUUCAAACAUGAUUCCUUGCCAGCCCGUCUCAAACAAUUCUUGUAAGUCAAAGCAAUGACUGUGUAAUUUUAAGUUGUAAGUUAUAAAUUGAUAAUAUUCUCUGUUUAUAUUGUAUGCGCAUAUUACUGUUUUUAUGAAUUUCUACCCAAUGUGUUUAUAUUGUGAAUAUGUAUUAUAUGUAGAAUCAUGCAUACAUUUGAAUAUAGAUGGGAUUUCAUGUAAAGCCUGUUUCACAGCUAUCCAGUUCAAACUGAGAUUCAUUUUGAAUGAAUCUUUUAAAUAAAAGAUCAAAAUCAAAUGUGUUCUGUAUUGCUCCGGUUUCUAGAGUUCUGCUGCAGUGUCAUGUGGUCUAGCUGUGGCCCACAGGCUUUACAUGUAUGUUUUGUUUCCUGGACUGAACCAUGUCUAACCUUAUGGACCUGUUGUAAUCUAGGUGCAAUGGCAACUAAAGUGCGGAGACAUGAUUCACGGGUCCAUCCUUACCAAAGGAUAGUGACCACAGACAGAGCCGCCACCGGCAACUAACAAAUGACCUCUGAACUCUGAACUCUUCACCCAAUGAUGAGCCGCCCAAGCCUGCCUGCUGAUCAGAUUAACUGGUAAUUGCCUUUUGCUAGCCUGGUGGACGCAGAGAGAGAGGCACCUGUCCGAGCAGUGAUCCUAACAUAAACCAACAUAAAACACAACAACCCUCCAUACCAACACAUUGUGUAGCGAUAACAACGAUGAUACUCUUUAUUAUUAUUUUUUUUAUUAUUAUUUUUUUUUACUAUUAUUUCUUUCCUUUUCUUUUUAAGUCUCAAAUGACUGGGUGGAUGUUAACAGUGAUGUUGCGUUACCCAAAAAUCUGCACUGAAGUUUAAAAGCAAUAAAGAAGCAUCUUCAGCUAAUUCAGCCCUUAAAUGCAUUUAUACUCCAAUCUCUGAUUUAAAAAAAAAAGAAAAGAAAAAAUACGACUUGGUGACCCUAGUUUUAUUAGUCAUAACUGUAAAUGGGGCAUCCAAAUCUCUAUACGCUACUCCACCCAUUUAAACUGUCACCAUGAAUAAUCAGCAAAAGAAAAAGAAGGAAAGAAAUCUGCACUCACACCAACUUGUGUAUUUCCUGUCCUUCUCUGAUGUAAUCCUGUGUUUUUCAGUUGAUGAGUUUUACUGUGCUGACACAUUCUGGGUGUGCCUGUCCAACUGACUUAGAGCAUGGCUACAAUGACAAACUGCAAAAAGCUUGUUUUGAUUUCUUUUUUUUCUGUUACUUCUCCCUGUUUUGUUUCUUGUGUUUCCAUGUAUCUUAUUAGCGUUUGGCAAUACUUGCAGGUUUAUACAUGCUGCUUAUUGCAGUAUAUGUGCCAGCUCGGUAGGGGGCUGUAGGCAGAGUCAGGCAGGGCAAGAGUUGUUUGGGGUGAAGUGUUUUUGGAGUCUUUAAAUCUAGGAUAUUCAGGGUUGGACAGCUGGGAUAUGAACCGGAAUCAGUUUACUGAACUAUGCCAUCCCAAAAACUCUCAACCCCCUCCCCACAUACAGUGCCUGAACUUUCUAAAAAUAUUUCUUUGAAUGAGCUGUGAGAUAAAAGACAAAAAAAAAAAAAGUAUUAUGUGUGCGCAUUUAGCCAAAGGGUUUCCAUUUAAUGAAUUUCAUAUAUAUCUAACCGCCAAGGGUUCUGUCAUUUUAGUCUAGAGUUUGAAAAGGUUUGAUGUCAUGCCUGUAUCUGUUUGUUAUAAUAGAAUCAAAAGAUGGAUGAAAUGGUGAAGAAUUGUCUUGCAAGACGCUAAUUUCCUUGAGGAAUGAACACUAAGGAAGAUGAAUAAGGUAGACAGAACAGUGGCGGGUUUAACCUCACUUCUGAUUUAUCUAAAAAAAUUGUAAAAAGAAAAACAUUUUUUGUAUUUCUCCCACCUUCAAAAAAUGUAUUCAACUGAGCUGAAAUUAAAUGCAAGUGUUCUUGCGAUCACGAAUUGAAAUUCGCGAGUGGGAAGCCACUGUGAGUAAUUUCGAAUAGUCUCAAAUAGCCCAUCCACAAUGUGUCCUGCACACCCCAGCUACUGAGCCCACUUUCAUUUCUAUACACCCUCUUAAGAAAACAUAGGAUGUGAAAGCCAUGUCUGCCUGUUCGAAUUGCUUUAUACAUACAUGAUAUAUAUAAAAUGUAUACAAAUGUAGAUAUGUCAUUGCAUAUUAAAAUACAGAAAGAUCAAAAUUAGAUACUUUUACAGGGUGCUGGAGAAGAUAUAUAUAUAUUUUUGGCAAUUUUAGCUUUUUAUACUUAACUUGCAGUUACAAAACAUGAAACAUAAUACAAAAAAAUAUAUAUAAAACCAUUAGUAGAAUAGUACAGCGAAAGGUUGUGUGACUUUGGAUACUAUUGGCCAGGAGGGAAAAGAACAGACCCAAAUAGUCCAACCUUUCGGAGGAAUUGCAUGACGUGAGAGGAGAAGAGUACAGUUAGAGAGAUAAGUGCCUUACUGACGGUCGUUUCUUUUCCGCGUGUUACAUUCUGUUCAAUAAUAUCCAGCACCAACGAGGAUAGCGCAGAGUGAGGGAGGGCUUGAGAAGAAGAGUUAAACCACGAGGCUGUUGCAGUGUUGUGCCACUGAAUCUAUUCUAUGCAAAGGAAUAGCAGUCAUUUGACCAGCUAACUAUGUGCCAUGAUUCGUCUUCCCAAAAUUAAGUUGAAGUCUUGUUUGUUUUUUUUGUUUUUUUUCCUUUAAUUCCCAUUUGAACAAAGUGUUUAUUUCUCUUUAUUUUAUUGCAUUGUUAUUCUUCUAUUAUGAGGACAAAAUCUAUGUAUUUGGUUACUGUGAUUUGUCAAGAACAACUGCCAAUCAUUAUGUGGAAGUCUGCCAGGUGUUUUAGACGGGAGAUUUCUCCAUGAAAUGGACUGUUCUUGAAAACCUCCUCUUGUUUCAAGAUUUGCAAACUGGAAGCUUUCGGUCAUAUUUGCCAAAACUUACUUUAUUUUAUGCCAAGGAAGUGUUUUUGCUUUUUAUUUUAGAAGACCUAAGGGUGGUGGGGGGUGUUUCACAAAGGAUAUAUGUAGCUACAGUACAAUGAUCUGAAAAGAGCAAAUAAUGCUUGGAGAGGGAAAACAUUGCAUUUACUCAAAGUAUUACUGAGCGGAAGGUCACUGGGAUAUUCAUCAGUGCCAAACCCGAACAGUCACAGAAGAGCCGCAGUAUCAAGUCACACACUCGAGAUCAGCAGUUUUCAAUCACUGAAACAACCGGAGGUGUUCGUAACAUUGAGUACGGUUACAUUCAGCUUUGUGUCCUGUAACCCUGGCAGUCUCUAAUGUAGUCUUGUUCUUCACUUGUGUUAAACAAAAAGGUCAAUGUCUUUUAUUUCUCUCUUCUCAGUGUUAAAUACAUGUUUUUCAACAUUGAAAUAAUGAAAUGCAAUAUUAGAGAGAAGCUAAGAUGACUGCAGAGAAAUGGACAGUAUUAAAGGAAUUCCCUCUGCCAUGUUACUACAGUACAUGCUGUUAAUGUUUUGGAGUUGGGUUUAGUCUUUCAGGUGUAUGGAGAAAACUCUUGUGUUCUCUUCCGCCUGCCUACUUCAUGUCUAAUAAUGUAAAUUACAGCCAUUGUUACAGGAUUCUAAUGUAUUUUUCUAACUUCAUUUUCUAUGUACAAGUUUUUUUUUUUUCUGAUCUCCUUUUGUGAUGAAACCCACUACACCUUGUUAUUUUUAUUUUUUUCCUCCAUGUCUUCUCUUCUCCUCUGCCCUCCCUCUCAGCCCACUCUUUUCUCAAAUCUGUCUCUCAUUGGGAGCGUUGCCUUUUCCUACAGUUAUUUUAUUUUCUUGCUGAUUCUUUAGCUUGUUUAACUCAUUAGCGACUUAUUAGUUCCUCUUGUCAUAGGUAUUUUUACAUGCUUGCAUUUAGUUUUUAUGGUGUAUGCUGUUAUUUUUUUCUUAUUAACCUCCUUGGCAUUUAUUUUAAUAAACAUUCUUAGUAAGAAUUUUA